rnacentral:rRNA from 1 species
AUACCGGCUGCUCGAGUGAUGGCCACUAUUACUGGGUUUAAAGCGUCCGUAGCUUGACUGUUAGGUCUCUUGGGAAAUCUUCACGCUCAACGUGAAGGCGUCUAAGAGAUACCGGCAGUCUUGGAACUGGGAGAGGUAAACCGUACUUCGGGGGUAGGAGUGAAAUCUUGUAAUCCUCGAGGGACGACCUAUGGCGAAGGCAGUUUACCAGAACAGCUUCGACAGUGAGGGACGAAAGCUGGGGGAGCAAACGGGAUUAGAUACCCCGGUAGUCCCAGCCGUAAACAAUGUGCGUUAGGUGUGUCGGUAACCACGUGUUACUGAUGCGCCGAAGAGAAAUCGUGAAACGCACCACCUGGGAAGUACGGUCGCAAGGCUGAAACUUAAAGGAAUUGGCGGGGGAGCACCACAACAGGUGGAGCCUGCGGUUUAAUUGGAUUCAACGCCGGACAUCUCACCGGAUAAGACAGCUGAAUGAUUGUCAAUCUGAAGGUUUUACAUGACUAGCUGAGAGGAGGUGCAUGGCCGUCGUCAGUUCGUACUGUGAAGCAUCCUGUUAAGUCAGGCAACGAGCGAGACCCACGCCGACAAUUGCCAGCAGCAUCUCCGGAUGGCUGGGGACAUUGUCGGGGACCGCCUCUGCUAAAGAGGA